rnacentral:rRNA from 1 species
GUAAGGAAUAUUGGGCAAUGGAGGCAACUCUGACCCAGCCAUGCCGCGUGAAGGAUUGACGGCCCUCUGGGUUGUAAACUUCUUUUGUACGGGAAUAACCCUCCGGACGUGUCCGGAGCUGAAGGUACCGUAAGAAUAAGGAUCGGCUAACUCCGUGCCCGCAGCCGCGGUAAUACGGAGGAUCCAAGCGUUAUCCGGAUUUACUGGGUUUAAAGGGUGCGUAGGCGGAUUAAUAUGUCAGUGGUGAAAGCCUGCAGCUUAACUGCAGAACUGCCAUUGAUACUGUUAGUCUGGAGUAUUGUUGAGGUAGCUGGAAUGUGUCAUGUAGCGGUGAAAUGCUUAGAGAUGACACAGAACACCGACGGCGAAGGCAGGUUACCAACCCAUUACUGACGCUGAGGCACGAAAGCGUGGGGAGCAAACAGGAUUAGAAACCCCUGUAGUCC